rnacentral:rRNA from 1 species
UACGGAGGGGGCUAGCGUUGUUCGGAAUUACUGGGCGUAAAGCGCACGUAGGCGGCUUUUUAAGUCAGAGGUGAAAGCCCGGAGCUCAACUCCGGAAUUGCCUUUGAGACUGGGAGGCUUGAAUCCAGGAGAGGUGAGUGGAAUUCCGAGUGUAGAGGUGAAAUUCGUAGAUAUUCGGAAGAACACCAGUGGCGAAGGCGGCUCACUGGACUGGUAUUGACGCUGAGGUGCGAAAGCGUGGGGAGCAAACAGG